rnacentral:rRNA from 1 species
GUACGGGAGGCAGCAGUGGGGAAUUUUGCGCAAUGGGCGAAAGCCUGACGCAGCGACGCCGCGUGGAGGAUGAAGGCCUUCGGGUCGUAAACUCCUGUCUUGAGGAAAGAACAGCUUUGAUGCCAAUACCAUCAAGGCCUGACGGUACCUCAGGAGGAAGCACCGGCUAACUCCGUGCCAGCAGCCGCGGUAAUACGGAGGGUGCAAGCGUUGCUCGGAAUCACUGGGUGUAAAGCGCGUGUAGGCGGUUCAUUAAGUCCGAUGUGAAAGCCCUUGGCUUAACCAAGGAAGUGCAUCGGAAACUGGUGAGCUUGAGUGUGGAAGAGGGAAGCGGAAUUCCGGGUGUAGCGGUGAAAUGCGUAGAUAUCCGGAGGAACACCAGUGGCGAAGGCGGCUUCCUGGUCCACAACUGACGCUGAGACGCGAAAGCGUGGGGAGCAAACAGGAUUAGAUACCCUAGUAC